GAGUUUGAUCUUGGCUCAGAUUGAACGCUGGCGGCAUGCCUUACACAUGCAAGUCGAACGGCAGCAUGAUCUAGCUUGCUAGAUUGAUGGCGAGUGGCGAACGGGUGAGUAAUACAUCGGAACGUGCCCUGUAGUGGGGGAUAACUAGUCGAAAGAUUAGCUAAUACCGCAUACGACCUGGAGGGUGAAAGUGGGGGACCGCAAGGCCUCAUGCUAUAGGAGCGGCCGAUGUCUGAUUAGCUAGUUGGUGGGGUAAAGGCCCACCAAGGCGACGAUCAGUAGCUGGUCUGAGAGGACGAUCAGCCACACUGGGACUGAGACACGGCCCAGACUCCUACGGGAGGCAGCAGGUGGGGAAUUUUGGACAAUGGGCGAAAGCCUGAUCCAGCAAUGCCGCGUGUGUGAAGAAGGCCUCGG
rnacentral:rRNA from 1 species